rnacentral:rRNA from 1 species
UACGAAGGGGGCUAGCGUUGCUCGGAAUUACUGGGCGUAAAGCGCGCGUAGGCGGCUUUGUAAGUUAGAGGUGAAAGCCCGGAGCUCAACUCCGGAACUGCCUUUAAGACUGCAUCGCUAGAACGAUGGAGAGGUAAGUGGAAUUCCGAGUGUAGAGGUGAAAUUCGUAGAUAUUCGCAAGAACACCAGUGGCGAAGGCGGCUUACUGGUCCGGUUCUGACGCUGAGGCGCGAAAGCGUGGGGAGCAAACAGG